CUUUGCGUCCUGCAGGCCCAGGCAUGGAUCAAAGCUGGCGAGACAUUUGAUAAUGUCAUCUUCACAGACAAAUCACCCGUGGCCUUUGAGCAAUUUGCUCAAAAUUGCUACAGAAAAAAAGGAAGAAGAUCAAGCAAGCCGAGUCCCAAGCAUCCGCUCAAACUCCAUGUGUGGGGGGCAAUUUCUCGCCAGGCACGAGGCCCAUAUUGGAUUUUUGAUGAUAUCAUGGCUCGAGAUUUCUUUGAGGAACAUGACGGUCAGAGAGGUGUUUCUCGGUACACAUAAUUUCUUUCAAGACAAUGACCCAAAACACAUUGCCACCUGGGUUUGCA